UACGUAGGCAGCGAGCGUUGUUCGGAAUUACUGGGCGUAAAGAGUGUGUAGGUGGUGAUCUAAGUCUGUCGUGAAAUCUCCCGGCUUAACUGGGAGGGUGCGGCGGAAACUGGAUCGCUAGAGUAUGGGAGAGGUAAGCGGAAUUCCUGGUGUAGCGGUGAAAUGCGUAGAUAUCAGGAGGAACACCUGUGGUGUAGACAGCUUACUGGACCAUUACUGACACUGAGACACGAAAAGCGUGGGUAGCAAACAGG
rnacentral:rRNA from 1 species